rnacentral:ncRNA from 1 species
UUAGUCUGAUGCAAAACGAAGAACCUUACCGGGGCUUGACAUACCGCGAAUCAUCUUGAAAGAGAGGGGUGCCUUCGGGAACGCAGACACAGAUGGUGCAUGGCUGUCGUCAUCUCGUGCCGUAAGGUGUUAGGUUAUAUCCUAUUUUAAGAGGGAUAAUCAACUUCGCAAAUAUCGAUCGAAACUUGAACCCUUGUAUAGGUAAUUUCAAAAAGCACAACAACUGAAAUAGGUGUCCCCGAAAAUUCCCAACACUUUAACGUCAGGGACA